UUACCAGGCUCCUACGGGAGGCAGCAGUGGGGAAUAUUGCACAAUGGGGGAAACCCUGAUGCAGCGACGCCGCGUGAGUGAAGAAGUAUUUCGGUCUGUAAAGCUCUAUCAGCAGGGAAGAAAUAGCGACCUUUGGGUCGCCAGACGGUACCUGAUUAAGAAGCCCCGGCUAACUACGUGCCAGCAGCCGCGGUAAUACGUAGGGGGCAAGCGUUAUCCGGAUUUACUGGGUGUAAAGGGGGCGUAGACGGCAAUACAAGUCGGAAGUGAAAUACCCGGGCUCAACCUGGGAACUGCUUUGGAAACUGUAUGGCUAGAGUGCUGGAGAGGUAAGCGGAAUUCCUAGUGUAGCGGUGAAAUGCGUAGAUAUUAGGAGGAACACCAGUGGCGAAGGCGGCUUACUGGACAGUAACUGACGUUGAGGCUCGAAAGCGUGGGGAGCAAACAGGAUUAGAUACCCCCGUA
rnacentral:rRNA from 1 species